GGAUUUCUGCCUUUGAGUGGGACUGUAUUGCUUGGAGCUUCAGCAGCCAUCUCACAAUCACAAGGAGCUAAACAAAAGGAUGAAAUGCCAAUAGCUUGAGGAAGGAGUGAUGGUGAUGUUAAACAUCUCUUCAAGAAAGUCAGCCUCUGGCUUAGUGGUGGACUUGCUCUUUUGGUUGGGCCAAACGGCGAAGGUAAAACUGUCAGCUCGUGAUUCAGAGUCAUCGUGAAGGACUGGUACCACUAUGUUUGCAGAGAGCAGCCGGGCCUGGAGAGUUCAAGGUUCCCAGAAGAGGUUAGAAGUCCGGGGCAGUCCAGCGUGCCACAGCAGCAGGCAGAGACGAAGAUGGAUGAUCUACCCACAACAGCACAAUGGCUAAAAUGCAAUUACUGGCUUUAUGGAAAAGCAAAACGGCCAGGCGUCAUAAACCUCAAAACCAGAACACUUUGCUUUUUAAUGAUUCUAAAUUAUCUAAACAACUGCUGGAAUAAAAAUCACUCAAUUAGCCUUGUGCUCUACAAGGAAGAGAUUAGUGCUUUAGAGAAUUCAGUGUAUGUGCUUUGUUCAUACAUUCUUUGAAAUGAACAAUAAUUUCUCUAAAUUUGUAAAAAGCUUUCAUUUCAUUUUAAAAUUUGAUGAUUCACCUUCUCUGUGUAUUUGUAUGUUUAAUUCUUCAGGAUAUAAGAUUUUCAGCACAAUUUUUUGUGGUUUAGCUUUUUCCCUUUUAGGCAGAUGUAAUAUUAUGGUGAAAAGAUGUUACAUGUUUAUCUUGGUAGGUUGAUAUGGUAUGGUUUGAAAAUCAUGAAUUUAUUCCAGGUUAAGAAAGUAGUUUGAGCUAUAACAUAACAAAUGUUUUCCCCACAAUUACUUUGCUAAAGGAUGAUAUUAAGCAUAAUGGAGAACAUCUAGAUUUCUUUCACAAGCUAUAACCAUCCAGAUCCACUGAUUAAAAUGGUCAUUUUUGACAGAAACAGACUCAUAGGCAUAGAGAAAAGACUU